rnacentral:rRNA from 1 species
GACGAACGCUGGCGGCGUGCCUAAUACAUGCAAGUUGAGCGCUGAAGGUUGGUACUUGUACCAACUGGAUGAGCAGCGAACGGGUGAGUAACGCGUGGGGAAUCUGCCUUUGAGCGGGGGACAACAUUUGGAAACGAAUGCUAAUACCGCAUAAAAACUUUAAACACAAGUUUUAAGUUUGAAAGAUGCAAUUGCAUCACUCAAAGAUGAUCCCGCGUUGUAUUAGCUAGUUGGUGAGGUAAAGGCUCACCAAGGCGAUGAUACAUAGCCGACCUGAGAGGGUGUUCGGCCACAUUGGGACUGAGACACGGCCCAAACUCCUACGGGAGGCAGCAGUAGGGAAUCUUCGGCAAUGGACGAAAGUCUGACCGAGCAACGCCGCGUGAGUGAAGAAGGUUGUCGGAUCGUAAAACUCUGUUGGUAGAGAAGAACGUUGGUGAGAGUGGAAAGCUCAUCAAGUGACGGUAACUACCCAGAAAGGGACGGCUAACUACGUG